GACGAACGCUGGCGGCGUGCUUAACACAUGCAAGUCGAACGGAAAGGCCCUGCUUUUGUGGGGUGCUCGAGUGGCGAACGGGUGAGUAACACGUGAGUAACCUGCCCUUGACUUUGGGAUAACUUCAGGAAACUGGGGCUAAUACCGGAUAGGAGCUCCUGCUGCAUGGUGGGGGUUGGAAAGUUUCGGCGGUUGGGGAUGGACUCGCGGCUUAUCAGCUUGUUGGUGGGGUAGUGGCUUACCAAGGCUUUGACGGGUAGCCGACCUGGGAGGGUGACCGGCCACGUUGGGACUGGGAUGCGACCCAGACUCCUACGGGAGGCAGCGGUGGGGAAUAGUGCACAGUGGGAGGAAGCCUGAUCCAGCAAAGCCGCGUGCGGGAUGACGGCCUUCGGGUUGUAAACCGCUUUCGCCUGUGACGAAGCGUGAGUGACGGUAAUGGGUAAAGAAGCCCCGGCUAACUACGUG
rnacentral:rRNA from 1 species